rnacentral:rRNA from 1 species
GAUGAACGCUGGCGGCGUGCCUAAUACAUGCAAGUCGAGCGAACAGACGAGGAGCUUGCUCCUCUGACGUUAGCGGCGGACGGGUGAGUAACACGUGGAUAACCUACCUAUAAGACUGGGAUAACUUCGGGAAACCGGAGCUAAUACCGGAUAAUAUAUUGAACCGCAUGGUUCAAUAGUGAAAGACGGUUUUGCUGUCACUUAUAGAUGGAUCCGCGCCGCAUUAGCUAGUUGGUAAGGUAACGGCUUACCAAGGCAACGAUGCGUAGCCGACCUGAGAGGGUGAUAGCCCACACUGGAACUGAGACACGGUCCAGACUCCUACGGGAGGCAGCAGUAGGGAAUCUUCCGCAAUGGGCGAAAGCUUGACGGAGCAACGCCGAGUGAGUGAUGAAAGUCUUCGGAUCGUAAAACUCUGUUAUUAGGGAAGAACAAAUGUGUAAGUAACUAUGCACGUCUUGACGGUACCUAAUCAGAAAGCAACGGCUAACUACGUG